rnacentral:tRNA from 2 species
AGGGGCGUAGCUCAGCUGGUCAGAGCGUCGGUCUCCAAAACCGCAGGCCGCAGGUUCGAAUCCUGCCGCCCCUG